rnacentral:lncRNA from 1 species
UCAAUAUAUCUAUUAGAGAACUCAUAUCUAGCAUUAUGCACUUUCUAGGCCUACAUGAUUGUAAGAUCAUUGUGUUCAGUCCAAUUAAUGAUUUCUUAAACUUUAGGACCUCAUCUUGAUAGUUAUCAAAGCGAUAUAUUUAUUGUAUGUACACUUCUAUGCUCUCUCAAUUACAUAUCUCUAGUUUCAAUAAGUGCACAUGUGUCUCAUCUUAGUCCGUCAUCC